GAAAGCCAUGAAUUUGUCAUCUGCGAGCACGGAUGAUCGUUAAAACGUGAAUGCUUUUCAUCGCUUUCGGCUGUUUUCAUUCUGUUUAUGAAUGAAAGAUGUGAAUUGGAGGAAUAAUGAGGUUAAACUGUAUCCAUAUUUAUUUUCUUCUUGUUUAAGAGGAUUGGUUAGGAAAUUGAGAAGUGUUGAAAAUAAUUUUUAUUGUAUAAAUACAUUUGCCUCGAGGUGUGCCAUGUCUGUUUCCAAGGAUCGUCAUUCAUAUGACCGGGACAGCAGUAGUGAUACUGAGGAUUACCACGAUUCUGAUGAUAGGAGAAGGAGGGUUUACCAUAAGAACAGAAUGAGUUAUGGGUCGUCAUCAAAACCAAAGCCAUGUUUGGUCCAGAGACAAGGUGGAGGUGGUCCAAAUGACCAGCGACCACACCUUGUGGCAACACCCAAGCAGUCCCUCAACAUUGCUCCUCGUAACAGGUCCCGCACGCAGCACCACUCACUUGGGCCAGCAAAGAACCAGAUGAACAGGGACACAGACCCAUCUUCUAACAUGACUGUCUCUCCUGUGAGUGACGAGCGUGUCACUCUGGUGGUGGACAACACACGAUUCAUCUUAGACCCUGCGCUGUUCACUGCACACCCAAAUACGAUGCUUGGCAGAAUGUUCAGCUCUGGCAUGGACUUCAUGCACCCGAACGAGCGUGGGGAGUAUGAAGUUGCCGACGGGAUCUCCGCCACAGUGUUUCGUUCGAUCUUGGAGUAUUACAAAGGCGGUUUGAUAAGGUGCCCCCCUACAGUUUCUGUGCAAGAACUGCGAGAGGCGUGCGACUAUCUGCUUGUUCCAUUUGAUGCUCAAACUGUCAAGUGCCAGAAUCUCCGGGGCUUAUUGCAUGAGCUCUCCAACGAAGGGGCACGCUGCCAGUUUGAAGUGUUCCUCGAGGAGCUGAUCCUUCCACUGAUGGUGAACUCGGCACAGCGAGGCGAUCGCGAGUGCCAUGUUGUCGUUCUGUUGGAUGAUGAUGUUGUCGACUGGGAUGAAGAGUACCCACCUCAGAUGGGGGAGGAGUACUCCCAGACCGUUAAUAGCACUGCAAUGUAUAGAUUCUUUAAGUACAUAGAAAAUCGGGAUGUGGCCAAACAAGUUAUGAAGGAGCGUGGACUGAAGAAGAUCCGUCUUGGAAUAGAGGGGUACCCAACUUACAAAGAGAAGGUCAAGAAGAGGGCGGGUGGACGAGCGGAGGUGAUCUACAACUAUGUGCAGAGGCCAUUCAUACACAUGUCAUGGGAAAAGGAGGAGGCCAAGAGCAGACAUGUUGACUUUCAGUGUGUCAAAUCCAAGUCAGUGACAAACUUGGCUGAAGCAACAGCUGACCCUGUUCUGGAACUCGAUGCUGGUGGCAACCCUGUUCCUGCCCCAGCAGUCCAGGGGGCAGAGCAUGAGGAGGGAGCUGUAGGAGCUUGUGGUUCAUGCUAGCAAACAAACGGCCGCAUAUUCAGGGAGCAGGCGUAUGGAAAUUGACUUGAAAUAAACGAUGCCAUGAACGUUCACUUGAGCCAUUAAGUACAGUGGCAAACUGGAAAACUAUUGGUGUUUGACCUCUCAAAUCAAACUUCACAAAAAUUUAAACAAAAGGAUGGACUGUACUAUUUGCAAGCUCUACUUUGCUCACCCCUGUGCUGGAGUACAGACUGACCAAUUUAUAUGUUACUUAAUGAUGUAGGGGUUAAGCCAGUGAGCAGGAAGGGAUUCAAAGGAGACGUGUGGACUGCAUGCAUAUGCCUUGGGGAGGGAGAUUGAUGUAAGCUAUAGCAAUUUCAGUCAGGAUAACAAGUUUUCUGACCAACAUUCACAUUUCUGCAGAAUGAUGAAGCAGUUUACCAAGAACAGGCUGAGAAUCCAGAGAUGUUAGUGUGUGCUCUGAUGGUGGUAAGCCUUCAAAAAACUUCUGUAUCAAGUCCUUGCCAACAGUUCCAUUUCCAUUCCAUACAAGGACCCCUGAGUCCAAAUAGUAUCUUGACAUCAGCUGCAACAAGCAAAUAUUGCUGUUAUACAUCCUUGGUGUAAAAUAUUCAUCAUUUUGACAUGACAGUACUCACGUGGCGUCUCUUGUCCACACUCUCAUAAUACAGCUUGGUGAACUCCUCAGCAGUGUGACAUGCCUGGUCAAUCCUGGUCUUCAGAUCCUGACAACAGCAGUAAUGAGGAUGUGUUAGUGAAGGCAAAAGACCACUUUUGAGGAUAACAUUAAGAUGCAACCACUAUUGGGGGUCUUAUGAACCUAAUACUAAGCCUUGUUCCAUUAGCAGCAGAGAAUUCCUUGACUAGAUAAGCAGUCAUUAGCUUCUUCUACAACAGUGCGUCAAUCCAUUCUCGAAUUUCACUUCAGUAGCCAUAAUUCUGAAUUAUGAAGUUCUCCAUAUUUGAGGUCUGGAAACCAAGCUGACAAGGAUGAGCCAUCACACUGGAAUAUGUUCAUUCUAUAGGGAAAUGCUCUCUGCAGGGGUAGGGGGCCUUUGCACUUCAAUCCUAACCAUAUUCUGUAAUUAUGUUAUGUUUCUGACCCUCUGUAAAAAUACUGGGUAUCUGGAAGUGCAAAAUCAUAAUGUAUUAAGUUUUUGGUUAUGCUUUGUGAAUGGAGGAGCAGAGUAGGAAAAGAAGAGACUGAUACUCUCCAAAAUGCAGUUUGGUCUACUUAACAGCAGGAGUUAUUUCAUCCAUGACAAUCAUCUAAAGAUAUGUUGUAUAAAUGCACUUUUGGGGCGAACAAUGUCGAAGUGCCCACUUUAUUCGAUACAUACGUAUUAUCUCAUGUUUACAGGACUUCCAAGGUAGCAUAUGAAUGUGUCUGUAAUGUAGGUUAGAAAAAUAUAACCUAGCAUAUAUAAUACCGUA